GCCGUUCUAUGGUCACUGCACAGUAUAGGAACUCGAAAGUCGGACAAAUAAUACUGAUGCUUUUGUGAUCAUUACACAACAAUGAUGCUUCUAAAAGUGAUUAAAACUUAAAUACGUGUUCUUUGCAAGAAUAUAUUGUAUAAUUUUACCAACUGAAAUCCAUAAAGGUUCACGCAACAUCCAUCAACACCAUGGAAGAUAUUAAAACCUUGCAGAAGAUAACAGUAUCAAUUAUAUUUAUUGGUCCACUCAUAUUGGCAACAAUCUGUGUCAUCGUCCAUUUGUGCAACUUUUUCCACACUAAAACUCCACAAAGUUUGUCAACGAAGAACCUUACUCUUUACUGUAUUUUUUUACUAUUGAGCUAUAUUUUAAUAUUUAUACUCGCUAUCACAUUGGCAACCGAUUCAACUAGAACUACCGAUUGUUUAAUGAUGAUUAUUUUACACCUGAUGGUGACACUAUCGUUCAUAAAAUUAACUAUGUCUUUGGAUCUAUUCCUAUGUUUUCGAAAAAUAGCUCUCUAUCAGCAAACACCAUCUUCGGUUACUCAAAAUAAAAAAUUCAUUGUUCAUUGUCUUCUCAGCACAAGCGUAUUCAUACUUUGCGUAUUUAUUUGGUUCGAGGUACAGGGAACAAGAAUUGAAGACUUUUGGUGGUUUCAAAGCAUGAGAAUUAUUCGCGUUGCGCGUUUCUUUUUAAUUAUCGGUGCAUUUUGGUACAUUAGAUUUGCUAGAAUAAAUAGACAAGAACUAUGGUCUAGAUAUAGUCUGCAUAUUCGUCUUCUGACAAUGGUUGGUGGAUUUUCUUCUAUAAUAAGCAUCUUGGAAAUCACUUCAUUCAUCAUUCGGAAUAAUCUUCACUGGCUCAAUGAGCGUUCUUCCAUUAGAAGUAUUGAAAAUUGUUAUUUUUUCAUAUACUAUUUUAUGUACGUACUACAGGGAAUCGUUGUUAGAUUAUUGCUCACAUACAGAAAUGAAACGUUUCAUUCUAUCUCUGAAAAUGGCGAACAGUCACUUCAUGGAAUCAAUAAUAAAGGUACACUGGGAAAUUAUUCACAUUUAUCCGUGACGUGAGAAGAUCUGCAUGAUCUACUUACACUCUAUAUCCUUUUGUAGAAUUAAUCAAUUUUUAAGAAUUUUUUUUAGCAGAUGAAUUUGUCAUAAUUUUCAAAUACAGAUGUCUAGAAAAUU